rnacentral:lncRNA from 1 species
ACCGUUGGAGAAGUUCAGCAGUUGGCGAAGUCUGGGGUAGUUCGGAUUGGAGUUGAACCUGGCUGGAAGAAGUCUGGAAGGGAUUCGGGGAGCAGCUGAUAGUCGUAGAAAGUCGGCUGGUGGCGGAGCUUAGUAAGCGCUUAGGGUGGUUUAAAAGAUAACUGGGGGAACUCAUAUUGAAGGAGCUCGGGUGGUGCAGUGGGAGUUCGUCCGUCGGGGGAAUUCAGUCAGCAUUGUGGGAAUCCGAC